rnacentral:misc_RNA from 1 species
GUACCCUCAAGCUCUGCUUGGUGUUGGGUGUUUGUCCCGCCUUCGCGCGUGGACUCGCCUUAAAGUGAUUGGCAGCCGGAAUGAUUCUGGGGAACGCAGCACAACUGCAGCCUCCAUCUCACGCCGAGCGUCCAGUAAGCCUAUUUUUCAC